rnacentral:rRNA from 1 species
UACGUAUGGGGCAAGCGUUAUCCGGAUUUACUGGGUGUAAAGGGAGCGCAGGCGGCCUGGCAAGCCUGAUGUGAAAUACCGAGGCCCAACCCCGGGGCUGCAUUGGGAACUGCCUGGCUGGAGUGCCGGAGAGGCAGGCGGAAUUCCUAGUGUAGCGGUGAAAUGCGUAGAUAUUAGGAGGAACACCAGUGGCGAAGGCGGCCUGCUGGACGGUGACUGACGCUGAGGCUCGAAAGCGUGGGGAGCAAACAGG